CGGACAUAUGCGGGCGGUUUGCGGUUCCGCCUUGAAAAUGCCCUAAGAUCACUAAUCUCAAAGCAGCACACCCAUUUGGCUGUUCUAUUUUUAUUUUAUUUUUUUGUUACUCACAAACUUUGUCGUCGACGGCGCAGGUUCGCCAAUCGCCAUGACUCGGCCGCGGGGCUGCCGAUUGGCGCACCGACGGCGAGAUCAAUCGUGGGACCGCCCUGUGAGGGGCGCUGCGACGCAAAGUGGAACUGUGGAAGGUCGUUGAGUUACCGGCCACAAGGAAGCGGCGUCCGCGGCUUGCGGAGAGGCGGGUGGAGGUGUGAUCCAGAAGGCACUGGUGGCGUCGGUCAACGGGAGGAGCAGUGAGGAGGACGAGUAUUGAUGACACCGUGCCCACCGUGGCUGGGGGCUGGGGCAGAGAAGGAAGUGGCCGGCCCGGCCUGGAUAGGUCGACGACGGCGACUCGGCGGAGGGGGGCAGUUCCUGUCUGCUCGAGUUAACCCGCACUCUUUCUCUGCUCGAGUUAAGCCGGAUGGAUCGAAUUUCGUUGCAGUCUUCAUAUGCCACCGACACUUUCUUUUCACUGGCAGAGAGUGAUUUGGCGCUCUGAAGGCUCCUUCUGAUUGCUCCCUAGGGCUCAACAGUGGACUCUUCUCAGAUUCUUCCACAGCUUCAUCUUUGGCUUGCAUCAGAGUGAUGUUGGUCAUGGGGAUGUCCUUGACUACUUUGCUGUGCUGUUCACUAGAAUAACUUAAAGAGUUGAUGCUUUCUGUACUCAGAAGUAAUGGAGUCUCUUCACCCACAUCUGUCCCUAGAGUUGGUUUCUGAAGCAGACACUGUUCCUCACUAGAAUCAUCAGCAUUUGCAAUAACUUUCUUCUGUUCCGAUUCAACAGCAAAGCCUACAGUCCCUGUGACUUUCUCCUGAUUGGAUUCAGAAGUAAAACAUGUGGCUUUAUCAGAUGUGCCUUGUCUCUCCUUGUUGAAUAAAUUAGGGAAGAUCAAGUCUGUCGCUGAACUGCAUUCCACCGGCUUCAUGCAGGUGCUCAGAGUCUCACUGUUUUCAAACUUGACAACUUCAGGUUCUUCAAGCAGUAACGGUUGAGGCUGAUCACACUGUGAGCUGUUCAUGGUUUCUUGUGUAUCUAUAGCCUUUGCUUCACAUGUGGAGGUGGUGGCUCCUUCAUUACUAUCCGAACUAUCAGGUUUAAUAUCUUCCUUGACAAAAUCUUCUACUGGUUGAAGAGCAUGUGAUGUUGCAGUCAUUGGUGCAGCUAAUUCUUCUAUGAUGACUUCUUCAUGUACCUUUUCUUCAUUCAAAAUAGGAAGAGGGCCAGAUAAUGGUGGGCCUAAACCUGUAAAAUCUUCUCCGUGGACCUUGGCAAGACCAAGAGAGUCAUGGAUACCAUCAGAUUUCUUAUCCCCUUCAAAAUUAUCUUCUUCAUUCUUGUCUGCAACAUCUUUGUUGACAAUUCCCCCUUGCUCUUUCUCUGCUGUUUCAAUUACAUUGUGCUCCAUUGCUGCACUUACAGAAUCUGACAUCUGUUCUGCUAUACUCAGUUCAUGUUUCUGAAGUUCUUUGCUAUUUGUUGCACUGGGAUCUGCUAAAGCUGACUGAAAUUGGGAAACAGCUUCAACAAUGUCGAGAGCACCAUAUGCGCUACAUUUGGGAAAUUCUUCCUGCUGAUUUUCCAAUCCUUGGAUCUUCUCGUCUUCUUCUAGCACCUCAUCAUUUUCAAUCACAGUAUCUACUGUUAUGGUUUUGCAGGAAUUGUUGUUGCCCAUUUCACAGAUUUCUUGCUUCUCUUCUUUCUUGGAUGUUUCUUGGUUGGUGUCAUCUUCUGGUCGUACAUGUGAUGAAUUUUCUCUUUCUCUAGGCUCAUCUUCGAGGACAACCUCCUUAGUCUCAUCAUCAAGAUGAUCAGUGAUAAUUGAUUCAGUUGAUGAUGUAGUCGCUCCUUGUACCGAGGAUGGUGUCCAUAGAUCCUCUACUGCUGACACUCCAGUUUGUCUUUCUUCUAGGCUUUCAACUGUAUCUUCUCCAACUAGAUUAUCAUCCACCACUGCAGCUUCUUGACUGCAAUAUUCCUCCCCAUCUUGUGGCGCACUUUCAAUAAUUCCCUCUAACAAUGUGAGGGGAUUUGGUAUGGUACUUUCUUCACUUGUCUCUGUCAUUUCGUGUACAACUUGUUUGAAUUGCUCAUCAGAUAAUGAUGUAUCAUUGCCACUUGUCAUGUCUUCAGUAGUGGUGUCGACAGCGGCAACUUUUUCUGUACCAUCUGUGGUUGUUUCAGUUCCACUGCCCUCUUGUGAUUCAUCACCUGUGCCAGAUCACUUGCUUUUAUUAGGAGAGUAUAUAGUGCUGAAGGAAAGCAAUGCUUAGGUACCUAUGAUUUUAGUGGCCCAUCAUAUAUUCUGAAGUUCAAGUAUAGUUGUUCAUAGAAGCAUAACUUACCUUUUAUUAGGUGGGUAGCUAGGUAGCACUAGCAUCUAGCAAAUUUUCACUUUUGAAUCCCUCUCUUACUAUCUCAUACUGAAUUCACCAUUUAUUAUCGCAAACACGCAUUCUUCUCAUAUUAAACCAUUCUUAAAUGGCUUAUUAAAGCACAAAAAUAAAACAUAGUAAGAAACAGCAAAACAAGCUAGGUAUGAGCCAUAUCAGCCAGCUGAACUAACCUUGUUCUGUAGGUAGGUUACUAUUUCCAUCAUCAUCUUGUAUUGAUGUAUGAUCCUGAAGUGAGUCCCUGUUCUUCUCAUCUAAGUCUUCAUUUGCAGCAGAGAUUUUUGUUUGAUCUGAAGCUAUUUGAUCAUUUCCACCAUUAGAAAUGAUAGGGUCCUUUAACACCUCUGACAUACCAUCAGAUUUCUGAUCCCCUUCAAAAUUAUCUUCUUCAUUCUUGUCUGCAACAUCCCUUUCAAUAAUUCCCCCUUGCUCUUUCUCUGCUGUUUUAAUUACAUUGUGCUCCAUUGCUACACUUACAGAAUCUAACAUCUGUUCUGCUAUACUCAGUUCAUGUUUCUGAAAUUCUUUGCCACUUGCUGCACUGGGGUGUGCUAAAGUUGACUGAAACUGGGAAACGGCUUCAACAAUAUCGGGAGCACCAUAUUUAUUACAUUUGGGGAAUUCUUCCUCCUGAUUUUCCAAUCCUUGGAUCUUCUUGUCUUCUUCUAGCACUUCAGCGCUUUCAACCACAGUAUCUUCUGUUAUAGUUUUGCAGGCUCAUCUUCGACGACAACCUCCUUACUCUCGUCAGCAAGAUAACCACUGAUAAUUGAUUCAGUUGAUGAUGUAGUCUCUCCAACUAGAUUAUCACCCACCACUGUUGACACUCCGGUUUGUCCUUCUAGGUUUUCAACUGUAUCUCCUCCAACUAGAUUAUCACUCGCCCCUGCAACUUCUUGACUACAAGAUUCCUCCUCGUCUUCUGGCAGACCUUCAAUGCUUUCCUCUAACAACAUGGCGGGAUUUGCAGUGUUGUGGUGCCGACAUGGGCAACUGUUUCUGCAGAAUUUGUGGCUGUUUCAGUUCCACUGUCCUCCUGUGUUUCAUCACCUGUGCCAGAUUACUUGCUUUUAUUAGUCGAGCUUAUAGUGCUGAAGAUUUCAGGUCCUGAAGUCAUUGUUGAAGACAUGGGUUGAACCGGCUUACGAAGCACGGAAAGAAGAAUUUCUUUCCGUUUUGCUAUGCAUAACAUGCGCGCGCGAUUCCACGGAAACUUCCGACUUUAUUCUCAGGUGGAUAAAACCUCGACAUGUGGAGAGCAUGCGCGCGCGUGAUUCCACAGAAACUUCCGACUUUCUUCUUAGGGGGAUAAAACCUCGACAUGUGGAGAGCUGCCUGAUAACAAAAACGCAGUGAAACAAGAGCUGUAUCUAAUUACAUUAGUCAACCUUUCGGCGCAUCUUAAGUUCUUAACAUAUUCCAGUCCA